GCACAAUGCCCUGCAUUAUGGGGACAUUUUAUGCAAAUAGCACUUAGGCUGUGUGAAACUCUGUAUCAGACACUGUAGCCCAGGCAAAUACCUCUUACAGAAAGAUCUUCAUCCCAGUGCAGAGCCACCUCACAUGGCCCUGAGGAUUAAAGGACCAGCCAACCCUUCAUGUCUACUCCCAAAUGAAAAUGACCAGGUUUUGAACAGACCAAGCUCUGAGUGGUGGCCCAGGAGACACUGGAUUAGGAGCAAGGCACCUCAAACAGACACUUCCUUCUCUCUCUGGGCACCGUCAAAACCUCCAGAUAACCUGGCAACUGCAAAUGAAUUUCAAGCAUUUGACAAAGUGGGGUUGAACAUCACUUCACUCUGGUUUGCCGCGGAAGCCUUAAUAUUAAGGAAGCUAGAUAUGCCAGAAAUAUACCCAGAGAAAGCAAGAUACGAGAUCCAUGCAACUAAAGAGAGAAAGAAGCAACGAUCAUUCCCAAAUGUUGGCCAAGAGACAGCAUAAGGCGACAGAUAAACCAAGAAGAACCAUCAGGCCUUAAAGACAUGGAGCACAGAAACUGGGAGAGAAGGUCACAUGUUGGUAGAUGCCAGGCUCCACUGUAAUAAGUCCUGCUGGGUACCCCAAGGUGGGCCCUGAGAAGCUCAGGCCAGCAUGAGGUCCUGGACCCUGGAGUUGAUGAUCAGAAAAUUAUCAACUCCUGGAAAAAGCAAACGCCCUCAAGACCAUCUCAGUUACAGUUCUCCUUUUAGCAAUGAGAAAAAUGUAUGCUUUAGAAUCUUGCCUGUCUAGUUCUACAUCCAUUUAACAUAUCUGCUUUUGAUGGACUCCCAGAUAAAUGCAUGAAACGUAAAUA
rnacentral:lncRNA from 1 species